CAGUAUGUGUGGACCAAUUGCCCAGAGUGAGGACCAGUGGUUACAGCAGGGAAAUUCAUUUUAGCACCAGAUCCCUCAUCCCUCCUGCUGGUCUCCUUUUGAAGUUCUAGAAAACGUGAUGCUCUUUCAUAGCAAAUUCCUGCAUGCAGAGCAGGUCUGUGCUGCUCUGCUCACCCCCACCAUUCUCAGGGCAGCUGAUGGGACGUAGCUGUGCCCAACAUCACUCUACAGAGCUCCUCAUGCUGCGUUGCCAUUCCUGCUGACCACAGCAUGCACAGAUGCGAUACUCAGCACCAGGAGAACACUUCCUUCUGCAUCACAGGACCUUAGGAGCAUUGCAUUGCAUCUAAAUAUGCAAAAUCAGGGAGUUGUUUUUGUCCAAAGCACUCAGCAAACCCAGCCUGCUUCUACCAGUGCUACUGAACAAAGUUGGGACUCCUCCAUGGGCCACUUGCAGUUUGGAACCUUUCGUAAGGGACUCAGAAGUUCUUACUUCACCACCUAUUCCUCAUCCGGAGAAGACAAACAGAGAUUACCUGGGAGAAGGAAGAGGGAACUUAUCUUGACUGCCUUGUAAGGGAUUUCCAGGGCAGAAGAAAAGCAUCAUUUUCUGCACAAAAGGAAUCUGUGAGAAGUUGUGACUUGUGGCAUGAGUGUAACCAGUGCACCAUGCAAAUGAAGUCAUCCCAUGGUCUGAUUUUCUUCCAGACAGAAAUGAAGGAAGGAGGAGGACGAGGAAGAAUGUUGGUAUGUUUUGUAAGAACUUGGCUUAGUUUCCAAGUUGAAAGCAAAUAAUGCCUUUACUUGCAUCCCAGGAGGUAAAUGCCCUCUAAGAAAACAAAGCCAUUAAUUAUUUUCAGGAUCUUUUAAUUAUUUUUAUUAGGGUGACUAAUCCAGCCAGAUCUGUUUGUGAAAACAGAUUAUAGACACAAACUAUGAACAUGACCUAGGGAAGCCACAGCAAACUGGCUCUUAUCUCCCAUCACAACUCCUGGCAUCCCCUCCUCCAUUUGCACAUCAUAGUAAGACUGCAGUAAAUAUUCAGGAUCAUUCUCAUCCAGCAUAACCGCACUGACUUGUAGGAGAUGAUCCUGAGUGGUGUUCCAAAUAGGUGUCACACAUCAGUUGAAAUGUGGCUUUCUAUUCAGCCUUCAUUUUACUCAGAUAAAUUAUUGCUUGCACCUCCUCGCUGUUUUGCAAUGAGGCUGGGAUAUUACACAGAGAUUUACCUGUGGGACGAGCUAUGACUGCUGCAAAAAAGCACCACCUCUUUUCUACUUGAAGGGUAUUUCCUCUCCUCACUCUGCUCUCGUCUCCUCCCAUCACACGCAGCAAAGGACAGCUGACAUUAAUGUGUCAGAUAUCCUUCACUUUUAUGUUAGAAAUCUGCUUAGCUCCUAUUCUAUUAGACAUUGUAUUUCUAGUUAAAGAACUUGUACAACACCAAAAACCACUGGCUUUGAAACCUGUCAUCAGUCACUUAUCAAACUAAUAAAAACCGUAACCACCAGCCUGGAUCCCAGCUGCACCCUGCUAUUAACCUCCCUUUUUUAAUUUGGAAAGGUUCCCUUAGUUUUCCACCCUGCCAGUGGUUUUUAACACAACAUGUCAAUUCCGCUCCUUUUCUGCAGUUUAAGCAUUAACCUUUGUUCUGGAGAGGUGUCAGGUUCUCCUUGAAAAGUAAAUUACUGGCUGGCCCUGGCCACCCCGAGAAGCUGAGGGCUCCAGCACAGCCAUCGUGCUCCUCUGCAAAUGUCCAAAGUCCUUAAUCCUAGCAUCAAGUGGAAGAAGAAUGGGUAUGGGAGCAGGAGGGUGGCAGGAGAACUGGCAUCCCAACACAACGCUCAACAAUGCCUACAGACAGACACAGCACUCUCACUUGUGGAGGAAAUGAUUCUGAAGGGACCUGGUACUAGAUCAUCCACCUUCUGACGAGGAUGCAUCAGAGAAACACAGAAUGGCUUACGUUGGCGGAGACCUUAAAGAUCCAAGCCCCCAGCCAUGGGCAGGGUUGCAAACCAACAGCUCUCCAGCCUGGGGAAUGGGGAAUCCACAGCUUUUCUGGGCAGCCUGUACCAAACUUGGAUGGUUCCUCCCCUCUCACUACUGCCAAUUCGCAAAAGAUUUGGCACAGGUCACAGGGAACAUAUUCUUUUCUUUUUGAAAGUGUCUCACUAAAACACGAGAUGAGGACAGUUGGAGCAAACUUUCUGAAAUUUCCAAGACGUUGAUGUGUCUCGUCAGCAUCAACUAUGCUGUUUGCCCCCCUCCUGCAAAGACACAGAGUGCUUUAUCCUUCCCAAAGGUAAACAAAUGAGCGAAGAGAUCAAGAGCCCUGUCCAUCUUAACCACUCCGGAGAGCAGGGGGAGCUGGCAGGGACAAAUUGAGUGGUGCUGCUUGCUGGCAUGGGUAUGCUGUGCUCUCCUCAGUGCAGAAGGGCCAGCAAUUGUAGCGGGAACAGAAAGAAUUUUGCUUCAAUAGGCAGUCUUGAUGAAGUUAAACAAAGAUUUUGCAUUAAGGAAGAAAACAGACCACAGGCAAUCAUCUAGUUUCAGACUUUCCUUGCUUCUCUAAGCAGCUGUGUGCUGUUCAUCAAGAAAGAUCACAGCGAGGACAUGAUUUCAUGUCAGUCUUGCAUCCUCCCCUUUAAGAAAGCUUAAGGCAUCCUUUCAGACUGAGUUAUUUCCUUAAAUUGAUUGGUAGAGCUUUAACAUUGCCAGAAAAGCAAUGCAGUCAAUAUAAUCCACAAAAAUAUCAUAUUUUGACAGAGCAAAAUAAGAAGAAAAAAGCCUCCAAGCCUUUAAGUAACAUUGGCACUGAGCAGUGAGUCACAGUUCCCCUUGGGGAGAAGCAGACAGAAACCCUCAUGCUGCAGCCUUCAGCCUGAUUUGCGAUGCAAAAAGGAAGACGAACACAAUCAGUCUUGCCUCCAUUUCAAUUUUGUUUGCAUAGCAUGUUCAUAAUUACGGGCUGUUUGGAGAGCUGUGUUCUGUACACAGCAUACAAUAAACACAUAAACAGUGCUGGGGUCGGCCACAAGAGUCCUGAAAGCUGUCAACUUUUCAGCACUGAAGAACUGAAAAAGAAAAAUUUGGAAGUAUACCACAGUUAGCUAAAUAAUCUCAGUGUUUAACAGCGUGAGGAAAAGCACGCUGCAUUUUCAUUUCCUUUGCAUCAAGAGCAUUAAAACUGAAGAACUGACAGAAACUGCAUGAUAACAUGGUUCAGAGGCCACCGGGGUGCUGUGUGCCUGCUCUGCAGAAAGCAAAAUGAAGGGGAUUCCAAAAGUGCAAGCUACACCAGCAUUCAUGGAUUAUUAUUAGAUGUAAGCAUUCAAUUCCCUCUCAAUGAUACCUGGACAAAUAUUCAUUUUUUUUCUCUUCCUACGCACUGUCCUGGGGAGCUGUGGUUGUUUGAAAUCCAAUGUUAUUUCCAUGAGCAGCUCCUUGUCUGUGAGGGUAUCACUGGGGAUAUCCACUGCGAUGUUCAGAGGGAGCUGUCAAUUCAGUGCCCUUUGGAACCGGCCAGUCUGAUUAACGUGCAAAUCCAGCAGGUUUUUUCUUCCGUCACAAUUAGCCAAGAGAUAUCCAACUCAGGUUCCAUAGUAAAACAGCCACUGUUUUGAGCAGGAAAUUUAAUUUCUGUAAAAUUUCACGCAUUGGAAUUUGCGACGUCUGCUAUGAGGUGCAUUCAGAGAAGUCAGUGAAAUCACAAAAUGAUUACGAGUUCAGCAAAGUGAGCAUUUCUCUUCGCCUCGGCAAAUUCUGACAACAUAUUGAGACUUCCCCCCUUGUCACAAAUAAGUGAAUGGCAGCAGGAAAGCACCAUGCUCAGGACGGUUCACAGGCUGCUCAAGAAAAGCAAACAGGGAAAUGUCGUGAGGGUUAGCCCCUCUGCCAAUGUACCAUUCCUAGCUUGCCAAAACUGCGUGGGACUGCAGGUUUCUGGUUUGUUGAAUAAGACAUCUGAGAAGGAUUUUGAGGAUGAAUGUUAAUUUACACUCUUUGUUUCGUGCGAUGAAGGGCUCAUUUUCACUCAUCAUCCUUUAACGCUUCUGCAUGUUUAUAUAAUCAGAGGAAAUCAGGCUUAUUUUAAGUCUUUUCCAAACUAUUAGAAGGAAAAUUCAUUUUCAUGGAAAAUUUGCUUUGUAACUCCAUGAAGUCCCUCCAGGAUCAGCGAUCACAAGGCUGACAUUAAGGAGGACAAGCAGUGCCUUUUGACAGGACUCUCCUCAGCUCAGACAGCCCUCAGGCACUCAAGCAAUCUUUCCUCUGGUGAGCAGUCACCAUUCCAGGCAAUGUUUGCUCGUUAUUUCCAUCAAAAGACCCAGAGAUCCACUUGUGCUGUGUGUGUUAAUUAGACAGUUAUCACUUUUGCAUCAGAGACUGGAAUCUGUAAGGGUGCUCUGAUGACUGCCUGGAGGACACCACAACUGCUGCAGUCAGGGACAGCAUCGACUCAACUUCACACUAACUCUUGUGCUUCAAGGACAUCUCUUCCAACAGGAACCAAGUCACAUCCCACACUCAAUUUUCUUCUCUCUUACUACCAAGCACAGAUAAAUGUAAUUGCAUCUGCCCUCAUAAAUCCUUCCAUUAAUGUGUGUCCUGAGUUACAGAAAGGUUCAGAAGGCACGUUAGGUUCAAUCAGAGAAGUUAAACG